rnacentral:misc_RNA from 1 species
CUGAAUGCUUGAGGUUGAGCUGGCACUGCAGGUGCUCACCUCUUUCAUCCACACUCACCUGUGCACUAUUUGGGGAGCAAUCCCUGUUUUUACACACACUUUUAAAUUCAAUAGAAUGUAUUUCUUAUGUGAUAACACGCAUAUAUA